rnacentral:rRNA from 1 species
GGGGAAUCUUGCACAAUGGGGGCAACCCUGAUGCAGCGACGCCGCGUGAGCGAUGAAGCCCUUCGGGGCGUAAAGCUCUUUCGACCGGAACGAUAAUGACUGUACCGGGAGAAGAAGCUGCGGCUAACUACGUGCCAGCAGCCGCGGUAAUACGUAGGCAGCAAGCGUUGUUCGGAGUUACUGGGCGUAAAGAGUGCGUAGGCGGUUUUCUAAGUUCGGUGUGAAAUCUCCCGGCUUAACUGGGAGGGUGCGCCGAAGACUGGGAAGCUGGAGUGUGGGAAAGGCAGGCGGAAUUCCUGGUGUAGCGGUGAAAUGCGUAGAUAUCAGGAGGAACACCGGCGGUGUAGACGGCUUGCUAGACCAUAACUGGCGCUGAGGCACGAAAGCGUGGGUAGCAAACA